ACCCAAAUUAGACCCAAUAUCAUGCUUAGCCGUUCGAUUGAAAUGGAUGGUCAAGAUGCACCCUAUCUCAUAUAUAACCUCACGAAACCCUAAUGUCUCUAGUUCUCCACCACCCCCUUGAGUCCCGUGCCUUUUGGCGCUUGCAAAUGCUAGCCACAAUCCCUCCGCAGAGCCACCGGCCUACCUACACAGGAACAUCAGACCGAGGACGUGUGAGGAGGCGACCCAGAUCUGACGCACGGCUGAGGCGGCGGCCCCGAUCCGAUGAAGUGCGACGGAGUGCGAGGCCCAACAAAUCCAAGCUUGUGGCGCUAGCGGUUCCCUCGGCUCCUUCGUCCACAAGCUCGACGUGACUCCGGUGCUGCAGGUGAUGGUGGUGGCAGGGCUGAUGCACUAGCUUCGUGGUGGAUCCGCUGAGGUGGCGGAUCUCCUUUGGACUUGGAGGCGUGGGUCCCCCGGGAUGGAGGGUUGUCGACGGAUCGCCACCACCACAUGCAUCAAGCACAUCAGAUGUGUCGUCGGGUUUUCUAGGACGAGAAGUUGCAGAUGUUAAUAUUCAUAUGCAUGUAUUGGACAGUUGCAGAUGUACAUCAUUCAUGGACGUAUUAGCUCUCUGCGGAGAGAAUUAUAACUUGUAUUUCCCUAGGUUGUAAUUGUUGAAUGAUAUAUAUAUUGGCUGUUGUACCGUGUGAAUUCUUUGCCAA